rnacentral:lncRNA from 1 species
UUGGAAUUGGCUAGCACUGGUCAUCGGAGAAGUUCUGUUCGUGUGGACUGAGUAGAGGCAUCGCUGCUUUGCUUUGCUCGUGAUCAGAAAUAUUUCUUCUACAAAGGUUCUGCUCUUCAAGAGGUAAACACAUGAAUCUUAAAGUGUUUAAGUUUCUGUUUGAUUUAUGAUUAAUGAUUUAAUCAAGAUCCGUUUCAAUGGGAUUUGUUCCGCUAAGCGGAUUAUAAAAUUUUGAAAAAAACCUCUCUUAAAAUCCCUUC